CAAGCCGGUGAGCAUAAGUACAUCGGCAAGAGUGGGUGAAGCAGGGCCACGACCGAAUACAAAAGCAUUGAGCGUGUCUGACCAAAAAUACGAGGCAGUUAUCAGCAGUGACUCGUUUCUCUCCAUAUCGGCAAGAGAUAAUCUGAUACACUGGUCUAAUUUUCGCUCACCCCACUGAACUUCAUUUGAAUGGCUGACUCACAGGAAUCAGUCUUUCCAUCCCUUGGUAGGACUGGGCCACGAACGAAAGGCAUCUUUCCACAGAUCUAAGGAAAAGUUUUCGGCUCUGAAGGGAAUUCUAUUUGUCUCUGCAUUUAUUAGAUCGGUGGGAUCUGGAUUUCCUAACGGGCUGAGACACUGGAAGUGAGGUUGAUCGGUAGGAAUUACAAUCUUAUCGGGCAAAUCCUAAAAGUUUUGAAGAUGAAAGAACAAAAAGAAAAAAAAGGUAUUCAGUAAAAGGAAUUGCGGAUGAACAAGAGUACAGAAAAAGUGCGAAAAGAAGAAGGAGGGUAGACUGACCUCAGGAACGAUGAAGUUGAUGGCCAUUUCCUCGCGAAGAAGAAGUUCAAAGAUUUGGAGGAUUGGUGAAGGAGGCUCUUGCUGAAGUUCUUGGAGUUCUCGGGUAAUGCCGCUGCUGGGAAAGUAGAUUUUGGGCUAUAGAACGAUAAGAUGGAGAAGGAGUACCGGAGAAGGAAGUAUUUAUAGGACAAAACGGGCAGGGGCAAAUCUGACUUAUCUCUUUGCCGCAUCCGUGAAAUCCGAGGGUGUUCAGGUGGAUAUGGUAACUGUUCGCACGGUAAUCAAGGGAUUGCGCAGGUGAUUUGACAGCAAGCGGUCAUGAUUUUGAAGAUAUUUCACU
rnacentral:lncRNA from 1 species